rnacentral:lncRNA from 1 species
UCAAAUUGAGUAGAAAAGGUAAGGGUCAAAAGUUCAAAGGGAAGUAUUUAAAUAGGUCCAAGAAACAGUGAAUCAGUACAAUAAGGAAAUAAUCAAUUACAAGAGUGCAAUCAGAAUUACACAAAGAGGUGAAAUCAGUCCAUAAUUAAGGGUUAUUUUGGGAGGGAGAUUUAGCAUAUAAAAGAGUGCAUAACAUUAGGCAUGCGAGGCUGAACUCAUGACAAAGAUAAUAAUCAUAUGACAGUCACAUAGAUCAAUUUCACUAACCUAGUAAUAGAAAAAGGGGAGAGUAUCACAAGCAUGCAAAAGGGCCAAGUAGAAAGCUUUUCUGAAAUCUGUAAUCCAGUUCUAAUGAUAGCAGGAAAUCUAAAUCACAUAAAGCACAUAAUUUGAAACAAAUAUUUCGAAACUCCCUCUAGAGAAAACAUAGAUCUACAACGGAUCUAAAAGAAUCAGAAGAACCUCGAAGGUUAGGGUUUCAGAAUAACACAGAUGGUGAGAAAGGCUUGGAAAGUCAUUGAUCUAAGCAGGAAAAGUCAAGAUCGGGAUUGAAUAGCCAUGGCUGGCCGAAGCAAGGUCGAAGAUAAUCGAAGACAACAUAGUACUGAAGUAGACCAAGGUUUGGUAUUGAAAGUAUGAUAAUCGGGCAGGUAGGAGCCAUAGGAGGUAGAUACAGGCCUUUAAUGAUUUGGAAUCCAUGGAUUCAGGCGAUUUUAGGGUGGAAGUGGAGGGAGGCGACUAGCGUUUCUAAGAGAAAAUUGGGAGAGGGGGAAUCCAAAGGUGUCUACAGGUGAUAAG